ensembl:lncRNA
CAGUUCCCAUUCAGAGGUGUGUGCUGCGAUGUCACUUCUCUUUAUCCCAACCGCUUGUGAAAACGUCAGAGACAUGGGUCUAUUGUUUAUUUCCUCCACGCUGACGUCUGUGAGGGUUUUUAUGUGGUUUUAUGUGGGGAACUGUGUUUUCACAUGUUUGCAAAUGCAGAUGUAGUGAUGUCAAUAGUGUACUUCUGUAUAUGUGUGUGAGUGUGUGUGUGUGAGUUGGCUCUGUCCUCCUGAAUUUCCAGAGAAUCCAGACAGUACACACCUUAUUGCAACACAUCACAUUGUGACACCCAUUCUAAGGUAUGGUACACAGAGUGCUCACCCCUUCCCUUUUACACUUCCCUCUUCUCGUUUACUGAGUACUUUCUUCUGUUGCUCAAUACGCUGUUUUUUUGUAGGCGGCUGCAUUUUAUUGGAACAACUCUCUUGAGGGGGUGUUUUUCUAAGGGCCACAAAUUGGUAAUUAUACAAAGCUGAAAAUCAUUGCUUGACCAGUGGAUGCUUUUGCCGCAAAGCCUCAGUUUUAUUUUAGAGUCUUCUUUUUCUUUCUAAAAAAGAGCAAAAGGGUAAAACUUUUUCCUGGUCAUAAAAGCAAAAUCAUUGGAUAACACUGGAAUGGCUCACUGGCUUAGAGAGUGUUUUUCUUGGCAGUUUCAGGAUGUCCUGUUCCAUAAGGGAGCCCCCUUUUGGCAUGUCUGUCUGAAUGCGUGUGUGCAUGUUUGUCUAGAAAUUCUGUUUAUACUACUACGUGUAAGUGCCUGUAUUACUUGUCUAAUACAUGUCUGUACCUGGGUUAUUUUUAAUGUGUACGCACUGUUUUGUUUUCCAUCUGCUUCCACUAUAAAUAAAGUCUGUUGAAAAGAGAAAAAAGGGAAACCUGACAUUGGUGCGUGCGAACGCCGCUGAUCUCGUGUCCUCAGGUCAGACGUGUGACCUGCACUGAAGGACCCCUGUCGAGAACAGUGCUGUUCCCAGAGCAGCCACACCCUGAACACCAUGAAGAUGACUAUUUCCACCCACCUCACCCCACCCUACCCUACCCCGGGGCUCUGGGCUGUAAACCCAACAUGCAAAUCCUGCCUGUCCAAACAGGCAGGGGGACUGAGAUUCAAAUAAUGACACUGCUUUUGUCCUUCCUCUCUUUCUCUCUCUGAUCUCUUCAUAUGCUGUACAUAUACUACAGUUGAAUCUGGCGGUGCUGGUCGAGCUUCUGGCACAGUGACCCCCACACGCAUCACCUCCCUCAGUCUGUCUCUCACUCCCCAGUUUUUUUCCCCUCCCUGUCAGCAGGCUAACCGCUGAGGGAUGCUGAAAUAUCACUGACUUCAUCCGCCACCCACCCACCCACAAGCCCCCUUUGCAUUUGGUUAUCCACUUAGUUCCUUUCACACUCCGUCUCAUUAAAUUAUGCUGACCAUGUGGAUUUUUUCUUUCCUUUUUUUUUUUUUGUUCUAAAUCACAUUAAGGUCCUUUGUUUUUGUAAGAAGCAGUCAGGGGGUCACAUCAGACCACAGUGGAGUGAGCAUGCAAGCCCAAAGGUACAGAGAAAGAUGCUUACCAAGGGAAAGUUACAAUUUAUGUGCGUGUCGCCAAAGAUUAGCCACUCUUUUAUUUACGGAACCAGUUUUAGAAUGAGGGAAGAUACAGUAUCAUACUAUGUAGUGUCAAGCUGAUGUAAGCUUUCCUUUUUAGGAGGAACAUUUUAAAAUAGCUAUUCUCUAAACUCAAAAUUACAAUGUCAUUAAAAUAGUGAAAUACUGAGCAUUGAUGUUUUGAUGUAAACACUAUACACAUAUUUACAUUCUAUACAUGAUAAAAUACAACCCCCCCCACCACCACCACCUUCAAAUGUGCCUAUUGUAACUUCAUUUUGCAUGAUUGAACUUGACUGUACAGUUUGAUAGUGGAAGGCUAUUUCGCUCCACUCAUCUCCAAUCUGAGUCAUGUUUAUGAAAACACGAGUGUGGACGAAAUCACAGGCCAAUAUUAAACAAGUGUGAUGUGGAAAUCUAAAACUUUCUAGCGCACGUACACUGAUUAUGUGAUUUCCUGUUAAGAAAGGGAGGUCUUACACUAUGUUCACGAUUUAAAUUGUUUCAAAAUAAAAUGCAUUUGCAUAUUCAAAGAUUUUGAAAUUGUCAGUGAGAGGGACGGAGGUGUAAUUUGAAGGUUUUUUAAAUAGCUUAUUCAGGUUUGUGCGGUACAAAACGUCAAAUGCAGACAAACGAACAUAGAUGUGUUCUUUUAACACUAGAUUUAUCCCUAUGAAUCACUUUUGAUAGUAGUUGAUCACCCUUAUGGUGGUCUCUUUCUUUUUUAAGUUAUAGGAUUCCUGAAAGGCAAGAAAGUUGUUCUGUUUCCGUUAUUUUAACUAAAAUGAAUGCUGAUUAUAACAAUAGAAUUAUUCAUAUAGAACUUCUUGAAACAGACUUACAAAGUGCUCAAAAGUAAAACAAUGAAAAAUCCUAAAAUAAUCAGAAUCUAAAAGUAAAACACAGAAUAAAACUGUCAAAUUUAAAUAAAACACAUUACAUUUGUAGUGUGACUUCUGCAAUCUUUAUGUGUGUAGAUAUCUUUAAAUGUCAGACACACAUGUUUGUGUGUGGACACAUAUAUCAUAGCUGUGGUUAGUGCAAAGCCCCAACUCCUAAGCCUUUGUUUCCUUUAUUGUGGCUUUAGCACACCAAGAUCAAACAAGCUUAUCAGAUUCUUCAUAAUUCAUUCCAUGUGAGAGGAGGGAUAUUAUUGGUCUCAUUUAAAUGAGAUCAAUAGGUCGAUUCAGGAUGAUCGUGAUGAGUGUCUGACUUAUUAACAGGCUCUUGGCCGACUUCUUUUGUUCUAUGAUUUAAAAUUAUCUAAAUACACGCAUUCGAACCGUUACUAAUGAUUUACUGUUUCUCAGAGUGAACUUGACACAACAAAACACCUCUCCCUUCACUCUGCUAAACUAAAUUAUGUGUGGGUAUUUUAACAGAGCAUAGUUAGGCAGGAGCAUCUGCUGUUCCUACCCACACAGUGCCAACAUGGCAGACAGCCUAAUGGCUGAUGCCAGGUGGCAAUGCGAGGGCACCGUGACGAAACACACAUCCGCACUGUGGCUCUUCCGGCCGGCCAUGUUCUCAAGGAGUUAACAGUCCGAUCCGAGUUAGGUUGCGUACUUGUUGUUGUACUAGUACAACAUAAAUCGAUUUGCAGUGUCUUUAAGCUUUAUCCAGUUUUAUUUUGUUAGUUUGUGAGGAAGAAGCUCAGUGAGUUAACUCUUUGUCACAAACAGGGUCUGCGCUGGAUUGCCUUAAUGUUUUCUUUCAGAAAAUCUUUAUGCUGCUACAUGUCAUAACAUGAGAGGAGGAGGAGCCUUAGACCAGCAUA